rnacentral:rRNA from 1 species
UACCAGCACCCCGAGUGGUCGGGACGAUUAUUGGGCCUAAAGCAUCCGUAGCCGGUUCUACAAGUCUUCCGUUAAAUCCACCUGCUUAACAGAUGGGCUGCGGAGGAUACUAUAAGACUAGGAGGCAGGAGAGGCAAGCGGUACUCAGUGGGUAGGGGUAAAAUCCGUUGAUCCAUUGAAGACCACCAGUGGCGAAGGCGGCUUGCCAGAAUGCGCUCGACGGUGAGGGAUGAAAGCUGGGGGAGCAAACCGGG